rnacentral:rRNA from 1 species
UACGAGGGGGGGCAAGCGUUGUUCGGAUUUAUUGGGCGUAAAGGGUGCGUAGGCGGUCUGGCAAGUCUUGUGUGAAAUCUUCGGGCUCAACCCGAAGUCUGCACAAGAAACUGCCGGGCUUGAGUAUGGGAGAGGUGAGUGGAAUUUCCGGUGUAGCGGUGAAAUGCGUAGAUAUCGGAAGGAACACCUGUGGCGAAAGCGGCUCACUGGACCAUAACUGACGCUGAGGCACGAAAGCUAGGGGAGCAAACAGG